AUUGAACGCUGGCGGAAUGCUUUACACAUGCAAGUCGAACGGCAGCACGGGUGCUUGCACCUGGUGGCGAGUGGCGAAUGGGUGAGUAAUACAUCGGAACGUACCCAGUUAUGGGGGAUAACUAACCGAAAGGUUAGCUAAUACCGCAUACGCCCUGAGGGGGAAAGCGGGGGACCGUAAGGCCUCGCGUAAUUGGAGCGGCCGAUGUCUGAUUAGCUAGUUGGUGAGGUAAAGGCUCACCAAGGCGACGAUCAGUAGCAGGUCUGAGAGGAUGAUCUGCCACACUGGAACUGAGACACGGUCCAGACUCCUACGGGAGGCAGCAGUGGGGAACUUUGGACAAUGGGCGAAAGCCUGAUCCAGCCAUUCCGCGUGAGUGAAGAAGGCCUUCGGGUUGUAAAGCUCUUUCGGCAGGGAAGAAACGCUCUGGGAUAAUACUCCGGGGUAAUGACGGUACCUGAAGAAGAAGCACCGGCUAACUACGUGCCAGCCGCCGCGGUAA
rnacentral:rRNA from 1 species